rnacentral:lncRNA from 1 species
AUUAUAGUUCGUUUCUGUGUGUGUUACAUUUUAAUGUUGUGUUUUUGUUGUGUCGUAGUUCUCUUAUAUUUUAUAAGUUUCCCUCAGUUUUAGUUUGUAACCCGGAUUUGUUUUUUUUUUUGUCUAUCGAUUUAUGAAUUUCGAACAGCGGUAUACUACUGUUAACUUUAUUUAGAAAAGAAAAGAACAUGUGGGGAUUCAGUUAAAAACAUAAAAGGCAUGAUGUAUUGGAACUAUCUUAGCAAUAAUGAUGAAAUUCACUAUGCUACACGGUUCUAGCAAAUACCAUAUAAUCCUCAGAUUGCUGUUUCCUAUCAAAGUACCUAUGAUAAUGAAAAGUGUAUCAUUUGAAUUACUAUACUAGUUAUACCAGUAAUAGUUUUUUUUUAUUGAAAUAAUGAAACCACGUACAGUAAAACCUGUUUUAAGAGACCACUUAAAGGAGAGCAAGAAAUGUGUCUCUUAAGAGAGGUGGUCUCCUAAUACAGGUUCAAUUUAAUUGAAAUGUACCACAGAGGGGUAAACAAUGUAUGGUCUUUUAAGCGGGUUUGACUGUAGUUAUAAAUGCAUGCAUAUAAAGUUUUGCACUUUGUUUCUUUCAUAAAAUUGACUAUCAGUUGUAUUUGUGCUAAUGGUUUGGAAAAGCACCAACACUUCUGUUUUACUCAAACAUAUUUUUCCUAUAGAACUAUUCGAUAUUAUUUUCAAUGUUUUAUAAUGGAAUAAAAAAGCAGGGUAAACAUUACAAAACCCAAAGACAAUAUUUUUUAAAAUAGGUUGUAUGUUAUUAUAUAAAAAAACAAUAAACAAAAAUGAUGGUAAUCAUCUAAAACUCGAAUAACAAACCCAGUGAAAACGGACAGAACUGUUCACUUCUAAGGAAAUGACCCUUGUCAUCAAGAAAUCUUUCAGGACGGAAUAUGUCUGGUUCGUUCCAUACAAUAGGAUCAAGAUGUACGGACAUCAAGUCGCAGAGAAGUAUACUCUUCUUCGGGAUUAAUUUUCCCUCAAUAUAAAUAUCUUCUAGCGUAGUAUGGGGAACUGCCAUCGGAGCUAAAAUGUACA